rnacentral:rRNA from 1 species
AGAUUGAACGCUGGCGGCAGGCCUAACACAUGCAAGUCGAGCGGCAGCACGGGUACUUGUACCUGGUGGCGAGCGGCGGACGGGUGAGUAAUGCCUAGGAAUCUGCCUGGUAGUGGGGGAUAACGCUCGGAAACGGACGCUAAUACCGCAUACGUCCUACGGGAGAAAGCAGGGGACCUUCGGGCCUUGCGCUAUCAGAUGAGCCUAGGUCGGAUUAGCUAGUUGGUGAGGUAAUGGCUCACCGAAGGCGACGAUCCGUAACUGGUCUGAGAGGAUGAUCAGUCACACUGGAACUGAGACACGGUCCGACUCCGUACGGGAGCAGCAGGUGGGAAUAGUUAGGACGAAGUGGGACGAAAGCCGUAGACUCCACGCCAUCGCCGCGUGUGGUAGAAGUAACGGUCGUUACGGUA